GACGAACGCUGGCGGCGUGCUUAACACAUGCAAGUCGAACGGAAAGGCCCUGCUUUUGUGGGGUGCUCGAGUGGCGAACGGGUGAGUAACACGUGAGUAACCUGCCCUUGACUUUGGGAUAACUUCAGGAAACUGGGGCUAAUACCGGAUAGGAGCUCCUGCUGCAUGGUGGGGGUUGGAAAGUUUCGGCGGUUGGGGAUGGACUCGCGGCUUAUCAGCUUGUUGGUGGGGUAGUGGCUUACCAAGGCUUUGACGGGUAGCCGGCCUGGGAGGGUGACCGGCCACAUUGGGACUGCGAUACGGCCCAGACUCCUACGGGAGGCAGCAGUGGGGAAUAUUGCACAAUGGGCGGAAGCCUGAUGCAGCAGCGCCGCGUGCGGGAUGACGGCCUUCGGGUUGUAAACCGCUUUCGCCUGUGACGAAGCGUGAGUGACGGUAAUGGGUAAAGAAGCACCGGCUAACUACGUG
rnacentral:rRNA from 1 species